UGGGGGAUAUUGCACAAUGGGCGAAAGCCUGAUGCAGCGACGCCGCGUGGGGGAUGAAGGCCUUCGGGUUGUAAACUUCUUUUGCUCUGAACAAGGCAUGCCUUUGGGGUGUGUUGAGUGUAGGGGUUGAUUAGCGCCGGCUAACUACGUGCCAGCAGCCGCGGUAAUACGUAGGGCGCGAGCGUUGUCCGGAAUUAUUGGGCGUAAAGGGCUUGUAGGUGGCUGGUUGCGUCUGUCGUGAAAGCUCAUGGCUUAACUGUGGGUUUGCGGUGGGUACGGGCUGGCGUGAGUGCAGUAGGGGAGGCUGGAAUUCCUGGUGUAGAGGUGGAAUGCGCAGAUAUCAGGAGGAAUACCGGUGGCGAAGGCGGGUCUCUGGGCUGUUACUGACGCUGAGGAGCGAAAGCGUGGGGAGCGAACAGG
rnacentral:rRNA from 1 species